UACGUAGGGUGCGAGCGUUGUCCGGAAUUAUUGGGCGUAAAGAGCUCGUAGGCGGCCUGUCGCGUCGGAUGUGAAAGCCCGGGGCUUAACCCCGGGUCUGCAUUCGAUACGGGCAGGCUGGAGUGUGGUAGGGGAGAUCGGAAUUCCUGGUGUAGCGGUGAAAUGCGCAGAUAUCGGGAGGAACACCAGUGGCGAAGGCGGUUGCCUGGAGCUUUGCUGACGCUGAGGCGCGAAAGCGUGGGGAGCGAUCCGG
rnacentral:rRNA from 1 species